rnacentral:rRNA from 1 species
CACCGCGGUUAUACGAGAGACCCAAGUUGAUAGCCCCGGCGUAAAGCGUGGUUAGGGAACACCCUAAACUAAAGCCGAAAAUCCCCAAUGCUGUUAUACGCAUUUGAUGAUCUGAAGCACCACAACCAAAGUAGCUUUAAACCCAACCCGAACCCACGAAAGCUAAGACA